AAUAAGUGCAGUUUUGCACUAUUUGUGUCUAACGUUUGACCGUUCGUCUUAUUUGAAAAUUUUUUAUGAUUAAUAUUUUUUUAUUAGAUGAUAAAAUAUGAAUAGUACUUUAUGUGCGACUAACUUUUUCUAAUUUUCUCAUAAAUUUUUCAAAUAAGACGGACGGUCAAACGUUGGACACGUAUUUCCACAACUGCACUUGUU
rfam:Oryza sativa (indica cultivar-group) chromosome 1, whole genome shotgun sequence.